UACGUAGGGUGCGAGCGUUGUCCGGAUUUAUUGGGCGUAAAGAGCUCGUAGGCGGUUUGUCGCGUCGGCCGUGAAAUUUCCACGCUUAACGUGGAGCGUGCGGUCGAUACGGGCAGACUUGAGUUCGGUAGGGGAGACUGGAAUUCCUGGUGUAGCGGUGAAAUGCGCAGAUAUCAGGAGGAACACCGGUGGCGAAGGCGGGUCUCUGGGCCGAUACUGACGCUGAGGAGCGAAAGCGUGGGGAGCGAACAGG
rnacentral:rRNA from 1 species